rnacentral:rRNA from 1 species
AAUCAACGCUGGCGGCGUGCCUCAGACAUGGCAAGUCGAACGCGAAAGUCCCCUUCGGGGGAUGAUUAGAGUGGCGCACGGGUGAGUAACACGUAGGUAAUCUACCUUCGAGUGGGGAAUAACUCAGGGAAACUUGAGCUAAUACCGCAUAAUGCAGCGGCACCACAUGGUGACAGUUGUUAAAGCAUUUAUGCGCUUGAAGAGGAGCCUGCGGCAGAUUAGCUAGUUGGUAAGGUAAUGGCUUACCAAGCUACGAUCUGUAACCGGCCUGAGAGGGCGGACGGUCACACUGACACUGAAUAACGGGUCAGACUCCUACGGGAAGGCAGCAGUCGGG